rnacentral:lncRNA from 1 species
GAAGCAGUACGCUACACAGACAAUACAUAGGUUACAACCUUGACAAUUAAGAAAGAAAACGGGCUUCAAUUUAAGUGCUUUACCACGGUAGUAAUUUGUGAUGGAGUUUGGGAAAAAGAGAUACAAAGCAUUGCUUUAUAUGCUUAAUGCUUGAACAAGAAAGCAAAGUCUGCGAAUUGGAAGUUUUUGGGGGAAAAAUCCGCAAAAGAGAUUGAUCGGAGAAAGUUGUGCAGAUCGUUUGAGGUGAAAUAAUUGGUGUUUCGGCACGAGUACUGUAAGUAGUAAUCUUAUCGCAAUUUGUAUUUUCACAACUUGCAUGGUUUAUAUAUGAUUUUUGAAAAUAAAUGUGUUACCGAAUGUUUGAAAUUGCAUUUGGGGCAAGUGCUUUACUUGAUAUGAUACCGAACAGUUUAGUUGAGAUGUUUACCGAUUAAUCAAAAUAUUUUCACUGUUACUAGAUAUGUUUUACCGUUACUUGAGACAUGAUUACUGUUACCGAAAUAAAUUUAAGAUUUGAAAAGGCCCUUUAUUAUUUUGAAUGGUUCUAUACUAGUAUUUAUGGUUCACAAGAAAGAAUAUAAAUGGGAGGAGACUUUGAAGGAUACCGUAGCUAACGGUAGGUUCGUUAGAUCUGGUGCACCUUGUAUUUAUCGAUUAGCGAAUACGGUUAUAGCCCUUGCUAGUGGGAAGGUAGAACUAGCGUACAGUUACAGUUUUCCCUCGAAUAGGGACCUACAGUUAUAUUUGACUCCUUUUACGAAAGGGUCCACACAGUGAUACAGAUUACAUGAUCCUUUUCUGAAAACCUCCCAAAUAUAAAGAUUGACUAUGACACAGUAUUUACCGAGUUUAUUACUGAAUUGUUNNNNNNNNNNNNNNNNNNNNNNNNNNNNNNNNNNNNNNNNNNNNNNNNNNNNNNNNNNNNNNNNNNNNNNNNNNNNNNNNNNNNNNNNNNNNNNNGACACAGUCUUUACCGAGUUUAUUACUGAAUUGUUAAGUUGAUUUUGUUACAGAAAACACAUGAUGAGGCUGAUUAUCUUUAUCGUUUUAAAAAGGGCAUUUUAUUUUGCGAUUAUUAUUCAAGCAUGUUUUCUGACUUGUCCAAAAUUAAAAGUAGUUGUGGUUAAGUGUUAUUACUCACUGAGCUAGCGACUCAGUCUCCGCUAAUUUUUUUACAGAGAAAAUAGUUGACGCAUGCGAGAAUUUCGUUAAUUAGAGCGCACAUGAUGAAAAAUUCUCGGUGAGUCUCGCAUUAGUUCACGUGGGCAGAGAUUUUAAUUACUGUUAUGGUCUUUUUAUUGAACUUUUAGAGUCACUCCAUGGUCAUUCUUUUAGUGUCAUGAGUAUUAGUUGCUACUAGUAGUUACGUUGAGUAUCGUUCAUUAGCAUUAAAGUUGGACAUAAUUAGUAUUUCUUGUUGUUAGUUGGUGAUUUAGUCAGGUUGGAUACUUGUGUUGGUUAAUUAACAUGCUGUCAAUUGUUUGAUAUGAUAUUAGGAUGUUUGGUUGUUGAUUUGAGACGGGAAAAGUUUUUGGGAUGGUCCAAAAACAGAAGAAACUCUGCCCGAUUUUUCUGUAAAAUUUCCGAUGAGGCUUACUUGGGAGCACUUGCUCCUAAGCGCUGGUCACAAUCCUAAAUUGGGUUGUGACACUAAUGGUCACUCAAUUAUCUAAAAUUAUCACUUUAAGUCAUUUUUCUUUUGUUUGUAACAACAAAGUCACUGAACUAUGUCUAUUACACUCAUAAGAUCACUCAACUAGAUUUUCUAAAUUUUGUAUUUUCAAAUACCUAUUUUACCCUCUAAAUUAUAAACAUUUAUCUUCUUUUUAUUUUUUUUUAAACUUUUUAAUAUUAUAAUUUUCCUCUUGUAAUUUACAUGAUGGACUUACCAAUAGAAUAAAUAAAUAUUAUUUAUAAAUAAAAAAUAGAAAGUAAAGCAUAUAUAAUGCUGGAAUAACAAAACAAUAAACAUACUAAAAAAAUUAGCUAAAAUAAUUUGUUAGUAAUAAUAAUUUUAGUAUUAACAACAAAAAGUCAAAAAAUUAUUUACACAAUUCACAAUGAAAGAAAAUGAGGUAAGGGUAAGGGUACACAGUAACCUCCCUAGACCCCAUUUAUGGGAUUAAAUUGGAUUUUUUUGUUGUUGUAGAAUGAAAGAAAAUAAAUGUUACAAAAUAUAAGUUCUAUAAACAUAAUAUAAAAAUAAUUAUUCAAAUAAAGCUAUUUUUGUAAUAUGCAUUAUAUAUUCUUAAAAGUAAUGCUCAAUAUAUUAUUAUGUUUCUACCAACUUUUCGGAUUGAGAGGAUUAUGGGUAUGGGAUGGGAUGAUUACCCUAUAUUUGUGACAUUGGAUUUUGAGAUCAUUAUGUAUUGCUCAGUAUGAACUGGUAAAAAUGUUACUAUUUACUCUAAAAUUCCAUCUUUUUACUAUUAAUUUUAAGGAAAUUAUAAAUUUCAAAGAUACUAAAAUGAGAAUCAAAUUUAUUUUUUAUUGUUGGUUUGCCUGACAGUGGUGUCCGGCGCUAUCACAAUUUUUAAUGAAUUUUGAAUCGUGACAGAUAGUCCCUCUGCUUUCUGGCGAUAUAACUUUGUGUCAUGGGAAAGUUGUUAGAAACAUAAUAAUAUAAUUGAGCAAAAUUUUCAAGAAUAUAUAAUGUAUAUUAUAAAAAUAUUUUUAUUUAAAUACCUAUUUUUAUAUUAUAUGCAUGGAAUAUAUAUUUUACAACCUUUAUUUUCUUUCAUUCUGAAUUGUAUAAAUAAGUUUUUGAAUUUUUAUUGUUAAUACUAAAAAAUAAAAAAAAUAAAAAAAAGAUAAAUAUUUAUAAUUUAGACGGUAAAAUAGGUAUUUGACAAUCCAAAAUUUGAAAAAAUAGAUAAGUGGCCUUCUGAGUAAAAUAUGCAUAGUUCAGUGACUUUGUGCUACAAACAAAAAACAGUUAUUUUUGGAGAUAAUUUAGGAUAGUUGAGUGACCAUUUGAGUAAUUAACUCUUAAUUUGUUUGGACCAAUACCAAGAUUCCAACUAAAAAAAAAAUUACAAAAAUUUAAGACAUUACUUUUCCAAAGAAUUUGAAUUUCCCCAAAAAAAUUGCUUUUUCUCAAUUAAUUCCAGUCAAGUAUCCUGUAUUAAAAAGAUAAACUUUAUACUCAUUUACAAAUAGAGGCGGAAUCAUGAUUUGAAACUUACGAGUUUUGGAUUUUACUUCUUUUGAAUUAUUAGGUUCUAAGUUAUAAUUUAUACAUACUAUAUAAAUUCUUAAGACAAAUACAAAAUUUUAACCAAGAGUAUUGAAUUCUAUCAAAUCCCCUUCCUAUACUCUAGCUUCGCCCGUGUUUACAAAGCUUAUAAAACCACAAGGAGACCAAAUUUGAGAUAUUAUGUGCGAUUGGAAUCAUGAUAUAGCCUGCUAUGUUUGACUCAAGAUGUGUUCUCAGUAGUUUAGAGGCUAUCAUAGGUAGAUGUUGGCUAGAAUGAUUAGAGGAGAACUACUAAGGCACCCAAUUGUAGUAAGUUGCUUCAAAUUGUCACGACUCCAAUCCCCGUCGUGAUGGCACCUAACAUAAUUGUUAGUCAAGACCGGCCAUUUGAAUACUCUCAACCCAAGUUAGAAAAUUCAUUACCAAUUAAUAGAGUUAAUUUAGCAGUUAACAAGAUUUCCAACCCGAUAAUAAAUAGAAACAAUACGGAAAACCAUAACAACUAUUAAAACACUCCCAAAAGAUCUGGAGUCACGAGUCUAGAGCCUCUAAAUACAAGUAAGUACCAAAUCUACACAUAAAAGAGUCUAGAAUGCGGAAACAAAAGGGAUAAGGGGAGAAAUUGGGUCCUGCGGACGCCAGACAGUUACCUCGACAACUCCGGGAUAAAUCUGUAAGCAUCCAAUGAAUCUACUCAGCCUUUCAGAUACUUGUAUAUGCACACAUGGUGCAGGGAGUAAAGUGAGUACUCCAACUCAGUGAAUAAUAAACAUAUAUAAUGGCUGAAGAUAACAAAUCACGAAAUAUUACAAUGUAAAGCUAUAACUGGCAAUCCAGCGCAUUUAACAGUAAAAUAGCAGCAAAUCAAUGACUGGUAAACCAAAUAAUCAAUGCAUGAAUGCAACGCAAUGCAUAUGACCGUUGUGGUGUGCAGCCCGAUCCAUUUAGGUACCCGCGCUCACUGUGGAGGUUCAGACUCCGGAGAAGCUCCUACAGCCCAAGCGCAAUAUCAACAUAGUAUCGAUGCGGCUUGCAACCCGAUCCAUACUUAGUCCAGGAUAUGCACGUAAGUCACUCGAGCAAUAUUAAAGUACUAGCUCUCAGCUCAAAACGUCAGAAAAUGUAGUUUAAGUUUCAAUUCUUAGAAAUAUGGUUGAAUAUUUAAUAACAGUGUAUAAACUUAGGAGUGAAAUCAUUUAACAUGCCAAGUAAUAUUGAAAUAGUGAUAACAAUCCCUGAAGGAUUCCAAUGAUCGGCACAAAGCCCAAAUAUGUCCAUAAAAUUAAAUUAGGAUGAUUACCAGACAAUUUCUAGUAAAGAAUAGAGUAUGAACACCAGUCGGGACAGACUAAGUCACAAUCCCUGAUCACAAACGACCCUACACUCGUCAUAGAGUAUGUUUCUUGCCUCAAUAUAGCGUCACGAUACGAUAUUCUGGGGUUUCAAAUCCUCAAGUCAGCAUCUACAUCUAUUACUCACCUCAAGCCGACCACAAAUCUAGCUCGCUAUGGCUUUUCUUCUCGAAUCAACCUCUUCGCUCUUCGAAUCUGAUAAAAAUCACAAGGAAUACAUUUAAAUAGUCCAAAGAAACAUAGCUCAAUCGAAGAGACUCGAACAGCAUCGAAAAUCACAAAGUUGGCAAAACCCAAACCCUGGGUCCACUUCUUGAAAAAUUAUGAAAUUUACAUCAGCGGAUUCCUCGUCUCGCCACGAGUCUACACAUAUCAAAUUUACCAAAAUUGAAGUCCAUUUUGCCCUCCAAAUUCCUUUAUAACGUAUAAUUUCUCAAAUCCUAACUUACCCACCUUUUUGAUGAAUUUUCUAAAUUGAACAAGUAUUAGGCCCAAUAAUCUAGAAGUGUGAUGACCUGGACCGUCGUCUCAUGAGUUAUCGUCCUGUUUCCCCCAUUUUCUGCUUCUGUAUGCUUCAUCAUCGGUAUUUGACGUGGUAGAGUUGAUUCGGAUUGGUUUUGGUAGGAAAUGAGACAUGUAGUCUUUUGAAGGAAGGCUUGUUUUGGAAAGUCAACUGGGUGUUGAUUUAUGGGUUAGAGAGCUCGGAUGUGAUUUCCGUUGAUUCGCUUACUUCAGUGGAUGAUUUGUGACUUAGUAGCAUGAUCGGAAGUGAUUUUUGAGGUCUAGUGUAGAAUUAGGCUUGAAUUGACGAAGUUAGUUGUUUGGCGAUUUCUGGUUGAUAGGUGAGAUUUUUAUCCGAGGUUCAGAAUGGAAUUUCGAGAGUUGAAGUAGCUUCUUUAGGUGAUUUGGGAUGUGCGCGCAAAAUUUUAGAUGAUUUGAAAGUGUUUUGGUCGGGUUUUUGAUCGAAUGAGUAUUUCGGAAGAUUUUGAAUAACUUAGGCUUAGAUUUGAUGUAAUUUGGUGGUUUUAGUGUUAAUUGUGGUAUUUUGAUGAUUGGAGCGAGUUUGAGCAUGGUAUUAGAUCAUGUUUGUGUUUAUGGUUGAGGCCCCGAGGGCCUUAGUUGAUAUCAGAUGGCGAUCGGGGAGUUUUGAAGUUUUGUUGUUGCAAAAUCUGUGUUGCUUCUGGUAUUUCUGCACAUGCAGAAAAAGGGGUCACAGGUGCAGUACUGCAUAUGCGGCUACGGAGUCACAAAAGCAGAAUGGUUUGAGGUCAGGCUAGACCGCUUAUACGUAAUGGGAACCGCACCUGCAGAGCCAUAGAUGCGGCUGGGUAAUCGCAGAUGCGGACAAGUGUAUCAAGUGAAAUUUCACAGAAGCGGAAAAAUGGACCGGAUAAGUAGAAAUGACUGGUCAGAGAUAUUUAAUUGCAUCUUCGCGAAUUUUUGAAAGAACUUAACAUUCUCACUUAGGACUUGGAGAGUUUUGUGCGAUUUUGGAGGGGAAUCUAGGGACUUCAUUGAAGUAAGGAAUUCUGAGCCUAAAACAUAAAUCUAAUGUGUUAUUAUAUGAAUUAAGGAUGAAAAAUCAAGGAAUUAGAGAUGAAAAAUGGAGGUUAGGGCUUGAACUUAAGGGAAGGAAGAAUGGGGAUUUGAGGGGCUGAUUGGACUCCGAUUCUGGUGAUUUUUAUAUGUAUAGACUCGUGGAGAGAUAAGGAAUCUGAUGAUAUCAAAUUUUCUAGCUUUCAAGAAGUGGGCCUGGGCUCGAGUUUUGUAUAUUUUGUGAAUUUCUAUAUUUUCGAGUCUUUUCGAUUGAGUUUAUGUUCCCUUAGCCUAUUGAAACGUAUUCGUUGUGGUUUUGGCUAGAUUCGACAUGCGAGGAGGUCAAUCCAAGAGUAAAGAGCAUAGAGAGAUAGACUUUUAGCCGGCUAGAGGUGAGUAACGAUUGUAAAUAAUACCUUGAAGGUUUGAAACCCCAGAUUUGCACAACGUAGUGUUGAGAUGAGGCACGCGCUCAAUGACGAGCGCGAGGUCAUUUACUAUUGGUAAUUCUGACUUGGUCCAUCCCGUUGAUACUUUACCGCGUAUUUGACUAUGACUUGUUAUUUUCACCACACUUGUGUUUAUUGCUAACUAUUUGAAAUCCUUGUGAAUUAUCAUCAUUGUAACCUCUCUAUUUUAAAUAUUACUUGAACUCAGUCUAAUUAAAAUACACUGUUUCUGGAACUCAGCUAAUUUUACACAAAUUUGAGAUUUAAAUGAUAUUUGCACUAGUGUUUGAGUUGAGUACUGUUGUUUUACUGAUGCCCGUGGGGCUUAUGAUAGUUUUUGGACUGAUUAACGCCCAGGGCCAUAUGUGAGGAUAUUUUGAGUGAUGUGAGGAGGCUUUCAAGCCGCGAGUGUUAUGUGAGGAGGCUUCCAGGGCUCGAAUGUUACGUGAGGAGGCUUUCAUGCCUCGAGUGUGAUGUGAGAAGGCUUUCAGGCCUUAUGUUGAUAUGAUCAGGCUUUCAAGCCUAAUGAUGAUAUAACGCUUGGGUCGUAAGGGGCCCCUCCAGAGUCUGCACACCUACAGUAAGCACGGUUACCCAUGUGAUUUGAGAGUGAGCCCGAGGGGCUGAUGUUGUAUUGAAUGACAAAUAAUGAGCCCGCGGGGCGGAGCAAGGUACUGAUUAAUUUCUCAGUUGUUGCAAAAAUUUGUCUUUAACUGUUUUAAAAUAGAGUUAUUUGAUAUUUCACCAUGUUACUGCUUAACUAAUUUUACUGCUUGAAAUAGCGUGCAUUUAUGAGAUUUCAUGCUUUCAGUCAUUAUUUAUUCUUAUUACUCACUGGGCUGGAGUACUCAUAUUACUCCCAGCAUCAUAUUUGCAGAUACAGGCAGAGCAGAGUUUCCUCAUGAGCGUUGAUUCCUUCCAGGCCAGGCGGACUAGGAGUGACAAGUUAGCUAUUGUCGUCCGCAGUUCUGUUUCUCCCUCAUAUUCUAUUUUUCAUGUUAUCUUCAGACUUUGUACCUAGUUCCAGACUUGUAGAAUUUUAGUAUACUCUGUAGUAGCUCAUGACUUGUGACACCCCGAAUUCGGGGGAAGGUUUCCCUGUUUUAUCAUGUUUAUUCC